AGGGCGGGGAUGACCUGUGGGGAGGCUCAAGGUCAGCCUGAGGUCAGAUCCUGUCCAGCUUAAUUAUUCAUUAACCAGGCAGGUCCCGGCACUGAGUUAAUGACCAGCACCAGGCUGGGGAGGGAGCAAAUUCCUCCCCGGAGGGUGGGCGUGACCUGCAAGGAUUGGGAACCGGUAAUGAACAGUUGGUGGAAAGGCUCUUCAUUCAUUCAUUCGUUCGUUCAUUCACUCCCUUAUCUCCCUGCACCUGUCAAUGAGCACAACCCUAGAGUGCCGGCCGGUGUGAGGACAGAGCAGUGGAGACAAGGACAGCCCAGAGUGUCAGCGCAGGGGUCUGGGGGAGCACAGAGGAGACCCCCAACUCAGCCAGGGCCAACGGCGCUCUAGCCUACUGCCCGUACUUCCUUGAGGUGAACUUUACACGGGUUGAAAUGAUCCAGUUUUGCGUGCACGGCGCCACACUGUCUCACAUCGGUGUCACCGCAUGACCGCCACCUUGAACGAGAUACUGAACGUUCCCAGCCCUCCAGAGGGUUCCCUCGCGCCCCCUCCCCAGGCGAGAACCGGGAGUCUGCCCUCCAUGACCGUAGACACUCUUGCCCGUCUACACAAACGCACUGGGAGUGUGCGCUCCGGUCCCUCAGCGUGGUAUCUCCGAGAUCCUUCGCUUCGCUCCAGGUUGUCCUUUUCUCAUUGCUCAGUUUAUUUCAUUGUUGGUCCCUUCUGUCCCUGGCUGUCCCAGUUCCCUUCUGGUCCCAGGCUCUGAGGAAGCUGCUCUGAACAUCCACGGACCUGUCUUCUUGUGGAGGGACUUGAUGGGCCGUGUUUCUUUAUUCCUCCAUUCUGGCCUAGGAGCACACAGAGCCCCAGGGCCUUUGCACUUGCUGUUCCCGCUUCUGAAAUUCUUUGUUCUCUGUCCUUGGUGUCACAGCAUUCCUUCUCAUCCUUCAGGUCACCUUCCCAGAGAGGCCCUGGCCUCCCACCGGGUCUGCUAAUGUCCCCCGGUCCUUCCUUCUUUGGUUUUGUGGCAUUUGUUGCCACGGGCGACCAUCUUAUCCUUGUACUCGCUUCCUGGGUGCCAGGCCCCUCCUGGAAGCUUCCUGCUCUCUGAAGGUGGGCACUUCUGCCUUGUGUAUCCCAGGGGCCAGCAUGGCUUCGAGUAGUGAUCAAUCAGACACGUGCAGGUGCCUCUGUAGGGAGGUAGGGACUCCCCUGGGGAGUAGGUUCCCCUGGGGAGGUUCCUUGUAGCCAUGACCCUUGACCCAGGAGGCCUGCCAAGGAAGGGGUGGGAACCAAGGAGGGGUGGGAGUUGUGUGGGCCACCUCCAUACCUUUCUUAUCUUUUGGCUAAUGGUUUGCCAGCGGUGUGCUGUUGUGCUCGGAGAAGAGGGGAGGAGGGGAGGGUGCGGCAGGAGGCCAGCCUUGCCCCUCACCCCUGCCUGGACCUGAGCUGCUCAGCAUUCGACCAUUUUACAAUCGUAGGUGCAGGAGGAAAGUCUCUCUGCUAAAAUAGGAGGUUUGGAAACCACUGCCGGAGGCAAUGGGGAGCCAUGGAGGGUGUGUAAGGAGGGGAGUGAUACCGAAGGAGCCAUCGGUUGAGCCUGGGUUGGUAGGAAGAAGGGCUGGACUUCGCCCCGUGUGCCAGCAGCCUACCAGGGGCCGGGCUGGGCAACCGCAACCCCUAUUUGCAAGGUUGCUUUAUGCCUGGGAACGGAGCGGGGAAACACCCACAAGUCCUCGGAGCUGGGCAAGUUCGGCCAGUUGGGGUCGACAGCGGGGAGCCGCAGAGCCCGCUCCGAACUUGGGAGGAAGGUCCGCAUCCCCACAAAAGCCAUUGGUGCUAAAAGCAAACGCGUGGACGGACGUCGCGCCUUCCAACAGGAUAUGGGGGCCCUGCUUUGAGCUCUGCCCUGUGGGCUAAAGGGAUGGAAGGGGAAAGGCAGGUGCUCACGGUCAGUGGCCAGCUGGUUAGAGGCAAGGACAGGCGAGAAGCAGGUGUCCCAAACGCAAGACAGAGCUGGCUCCCCUCGCACCGCCCUUCCCCAAACCUGCCCCUUCCAGCCCUGGUAUAGGGUCCACUCUCCUCCUUUCUUUCCCUACUGGGGGGCCACCCAGGGGGGUGCAAACCAGGAUAACCUCUCCCUCUGAAGACCCUUAAUGUAAUCACAUCUUUGAUGUCCCUGGUGCCUUGUAAGGUAACAUUCACAGAUUCCAGGCAUUAUGACCUGGAUGUCUUUAGGGGAGAUUAUUCAGGCCACCCCCAUUGCCCUGGGGAUUCCAGAUACUCUCCUGAGAAACCCUAGUCUGUAGGUUUGUUUAUUUAACUGAUGGCUGCUCUCUCAUGAUUCUCUGAGCUUACAGAAAUGGGGCACCAUUCAGCAUUUAUUUAACAAGCCCUCAUGAAGCUCCCGCGCGGUGCCGAGCCCUGUUCUGGGUGCUGUGGACAUUAAGACAAGAGGUUAGAGUCCAGACGGGCCAACCCGAGGUCUGCCCGCCUCCAAGGCCAUGCUGGAAAUGAACCAUCAGCCCUGGCUUUCUUCUUUCGCCCGCGGGAUCAGCAUUCGGAUCCCCAUCCUUGGACAGCCCUUGCCCCUCGGCCCUCCCGUACCCCAGGAGGCUAAGUUUGCUGAGGACAGCGGCUCGGAGAGGAGGACCUCCUGGCCACCUCUGGAAGGGUAAACUUGCAGACAGCACCCGCCACAGCGGCGUGCUGAGAAACGCACCAACACCAGCUGCUGGGGGAGGCCGGCCAGGAGGGGGCUUCGGGCGGGGUGGCCACGGACGGACGCUCCAGCAACAGACUGAGGCAACCGCUCGCCGCCAUUCCUGUGUAUAUGCCUGCCGCAACCCCAAAUCCUGUCUCAUCUUGGCCAAGUUAUAAAAGCCGCUCCUACGGCAACGCUUCAUUUAAUCUGGCGACGGCUAAGAUCACAUCGAGUGCUUCCCGGGAUCGGAACGCCCUGCUAACCACUCUGUGUCCUUGACCUCGCUGGACUGCAACCUGGAGAGGAGCAUGCCUUUACAGUCCUCCUUACACAGAGGGUCAGGGACGGUGGGUGAACCAUCCAAGGUCACCCUGCUUGGGACGGGCAGACACAGGAUUAGAACCCAGGCCUUCCGGUCCAGACCAGAGUGUUUCCACUGAACACUCCCAUAUAUUGCUGCCCCCAGGAAGCAAUGUGGUC